CUGCAAGAUUCCAGCAUGCUUGGGUCUAGGGUGACCUGGUGCAUUUCUACAGUGCUUGCAAGAACAUUAUGAAAUGAUUUGAGGCCUUGCUCUACUCCACCCAGAGCAAAGUUAUAGAAAUUUUAUGAUUUA